GAUGAACGCUAGCGGCAGGCUUAAUACAUGCAAGUCGAGGGGUAGCAAGAUUGUAGCAAUACAAUUGUUGACGACCGGCAAACGGGUGCGGAACACGUACACAACCUUCCUACAAGUGGGGAAUAGCCCAGAGAAAUUUGGAUUAAUACCCCGUAACAUAGCGAUGUGGCACCACAUUGCUAAUAUAGCUUCGGCGCUUGUUGAUGGGUGUGCGGCUGAUUAGAUAGUUGGCGGGGUAACGGCCCACCAAGUCUACGAUCAGUAGCUGAUGUGAGAGCAUGAUCAGCCACACGGGCACUGAGACACGGUCCAGACUCCUACGGGAGGCAGCAGUGGGGAAUAUUGGACAAUGGGCGAAAGCCUGAUCCAGCCAUGCCGCGUGUGUGAAGAAGGUCUUCGGAUUGUAAAGCACUUUAAGUCGGGAGGAAGGGCUGUAGGUUAAUACCCUGCGGUUUUGACGUUACCGACAGAAUAAGCACCGGCUAACUUCGUGCCAGCAGCCGCAGUAACAC
rnacentral:rRNA from 1 species